rnacentral:rRNA from 1 species
AUGGAGAGGGGAUCCGGCAAGGAGAUCGACUGGGAAUCCUGGGCGAUUAAGGACCGGAUGAAGGAGAUGGUAUCCGUGGGGAUGGAGCGCAAAGACGUGCUUGACUCACUUACUCCUAGCCUUUCUGGGUGGAGGCGGAUACACAAAGAGGAAAGCAGUAAAUCGUCUUGGAUGAUCACCGGAAAAGCGGCCAAGGAAACGGCGUCCGAACUGAUGGAAUCGAGCACAAUGGAGCUACCCGAGAAAGAACUCGACAACAUCUUGCAAGGUAUGGAGGAGUUGGGCCACCGGAUGUUGUCUAUGGCGUAUUUUCUGCGCAAAUCCGGUGCCCCCAGCGUCUCCUUUCACCAGGCCUCCGAGCUGCUUAGCACUACAUACAGAUUACAGCGGAACUCGGAGGAUUUCUACCAAGAUACCGAGGCUGCUGAGAGUAAGAGUGUGGAGAAUUUCGACCCAUAUAGCGAGGGCAGGAGUGUUGAGAGUGAGAGUGAGGUUGAGGGUGACGAUGACUGUGGUGAUGACGAUGAGGAGAUUGAGAGUGAGGUUGAGAGUGAUGAUGAUUGUUAUGAUGAUGACGAGGAGAUUCCCAGCGAAAUAUGCAGUCUCACCAAGUACUUGAGAUUUUGCUCUCGUUAUGAGAACAAGUUGGCGCUGAUUGAAAACGGAGAUGAAGAUAAAGAUGAAGAUGAGGAUGAGGAUGAGGAUGGGGAUGAAGAUGAGGAUGAUGAUGAGGAGGAGGAGGAUAGACCCACAUUGGAGUAUCUCGAAAAGGUGAUAGCUGAUGAACAGAAAAGUUUCGGCGAAGAAUAUGACUGCUGGGAACGUGUAUGGGGUAGCAAGAUUGGAGGGUGCGGUGGCUUGGAAGAUACAACUACAUUGAGCCCUAUGUUCUUUACCCACUGCACACCUCGUGCCAUCCCAUCCCCUGCUGCUAUUGCGGGGCGCACGUUGUUGAUCUAUUCCAUCAGGAUUUUGGAAAAGAAAGGAAAAACCUUGAAGUGGCCACUCAAAGUGUAUGGUGUGAUCGUUGCUCGAGACACGGUGGACCGCAACCGCAACAUUAUAUUCUCUCGAUCAAGGCAUAACUACCAAAAACUCGAUAAACAAGAUUCUUCUCUAUGCUUGACUGGACCAUCUCGUGCAAUUUUUGCUGUCGACACUGUUGACUUUGAAGUUGAACUCAAAAUAAAUGAGGGGGCCGAAGAAGAUACACCAUUGAUCAGUUCUUGCAACCACCUUUAUGACAGUGCAUAUUAUGAUUUAAAUGUCCGUCAACUGAGGCCCGCAACUGUUGAUAGCAUCUCUUCAAUAUUCAUCCGUGGCUGCUGGUGUGAUGCAGAAUUAACCUUUGCGCAGUUUGAUACAGCCGUCCAGGCCACCAUUGUGGGUGUUCACGUUGUUGAAGGGGGUUGGCCUUUCAAAUGUGGAUGCAAAGUUGCUUGCUCCUGGUCUGCUGCAACAAGGAAUAUCGGUCCCACUUCUAGGGAAGUUGUUUUGCUUGAUUAUCGUGGUGAAAAUAUGGAUGUAGGAUCAAAUGGUUACCUUCAUCUGUCGAGAAAUGUUGUUCCAGUGGAGUUACAAGGAACACUGAGGCUUGUCAUACAGGCUUACCCGGAAGCUGGUUGUAAACCUGUAGAGGGUCAUGUGGACUUCGGUGUCCAACAUUGCCAAACAAGCAACCUAUCAUGUGAAGUUGACAACUCUACGGUCGAGGUUACUGUUGCUUGGUCCCUCCUUGUAAAGGAAAAGUUGGAUCUGUUGGUGGAGGGCUAUGCCGCAGGGCGGGAUUGA